rnacentral:tRNA from 1 species
GCCUGGGUGGCUUAGUCGGUUUAAGGGUCUGGCUUCAGCUCAGGUUAUGAUCUCACACACCAGGAUCGUGGGUUCAAACCCCAUGUCUGGCU